rnacentral:lncRNA from 1 species
CAAGUUUAAUAUUAAAGGCAAGUCCAAGGUCAAGAUGGGCAUAGGGAGGCUUUCGGGAGCUAGUGUAGUUUAUAUUUUGGCCAGUCAGCUGAGGAACCACGUGGAACUAAAAUUAGUAAAGUGUGUGCAGUGAAGAAAGUUCACACGGUGUAAUAUGCUGUGGGCAGUAUUAGCGUUGAUUUACCCAAUCUGUUAAUGGUAUGGUCUGUGUAGACCUUUGGAACAUUCCUUAGCUCCUUAUUUAAUGUAGGAAGAAUCAUUCUAAAAUUAGCAUAUAAAUUAUCCAGUCAGCAGCCCUUUAAAACAGUGUUAUACCCUUGUCAUGGCACAGUAACUAUUUUAAAAAACAGAUUCCCAAUCAGGCACAAUAUCAUGAAGAAGCUCUCAGCUUUAGAUUGCGUGCUGAAAAGAGAGCAUAAACCUGAGAAAAAAUUUUUUUUUUUAAGUAUAAAAUGGGGAAAUGGUCAGGAUUUGAUUUGGGUAUCCUGACUCUUGGAUACGUGGCAAAUGCAGUAAGUCAACCUAUUUUCUAAUUCUAGUUUAUUUAUAUUUUGAGAUAUAUUUCAAACUGGUGAUUACAGCAGGUGUUACAUGAUUGUUGUAUUGCCUCCUUAUUGCUUGUAAUUUCACUGGAUAUUUUAAAAUAAUUUUAGGAAGAUAAUGAUAUUUUCAGAAGUAGACAGCCUUAUAAGUAGAACUUGAAAAUUAGAUGUGAAAUCUUUUGUUUUACAUUUUAAAGGUCAACAAGAAUGCAUAAUAUGUAAUCUGUUUGCUAAGUUACCAUUCAGUGGGCACUGAUUAUCAGGACAAUUAAUUACCUGAUGAUAAUUUAAAAGGAAAAUAUUACUUCAGAAUAAAUACUGAAUUUGUCUUGGAAAUAGUUUUGAA